rnacentral:lncRNA from 1 species
AAGGUAUAGAAUGGAUGCUCCGCCUGGCUGAUUUAACCUUUCUUUGCACUCAUAAUCAACCUACCUACCCCGCUCUCACCUUAGAAUUUUUAAGUUCUUAUUCGUACAACACUCCUACCGGUGAAGACGAGUACUUAACCGGUACCGCGACCUUCCGCAUGUUCAACACCGAGUACUCCCUAUCCCAAAACCAAUUGAGCACCA